rnacentral:rRNA from 1 species
GACGAACGCUGGCGGCGUGCUUAACACAUGCAAGUCGAACGGAAAGGCCCUGCUGUUGUGGGGUGCUCGAGUGGCGAAAGGGUGAGUAACACGUGAGUAACCUGCCCUUGACUUUGGGAUAACUUCAGGAAACUGGGGCUAAUACCGGAUAGGAGCUCCUGCUGCAUGGUGGGGGUUGGAAAGGUUCGGCGGUUGGGGAUGGACUCGCGGCUUAUCAGCUUGUUGGUGGGGUAGUGGCUUACCAAGGCUUUGACGGGUAGCCGGCCUGAGAGGGUGACCGGCCACAUUGGGACUGAGAUACGGCCCAGACUCCUACGGGAGGCAGCAGUGGGGAAUAUUGCACAAUGGGCGGAAGCCUGAUGCAGCAACGCCGCGUGCGGGAUGACGGCCUUCGGGUUGUAAACCGCUUUCGCCUGUGACGAAGCGUGAGUGACGGUAAUGGGUAAAGAAGCACCGGCUAACUACGUG